UACAGAGGUCCCAAGCGUUGUUCGGAUUCACUGGGCGUAAAGGGUGCGUAGGUGGUGAGGUAAGUCGGAUGUGAAAGCUCGGAGCUCAACUCCGAAAUGGCAUUGGAAACUACCUUGCUCGAGGGUUGGAGGGGGGACUGGAAUGGCUUGGUAGUAGCAGUGAAAUGCGUAGAUAUCAAGCGGAACACCAGUGGCGAAGG
rnacentral:rRNA from 1 species